AUGCCCAGGGCUUGGCACACAGGAGGGGCUCAGUGGGAGGGAGGGGUGAACUUGGAACCCACCCAGGACUGCCUGAUGGACAGAGACCAGGGACCCGCCGCCAGUGUUGCCUAUGGGAGCUGUGACCCGAGGCGCCCCUCACAGGGCAGCUGCCCCUGCGUCCAGCCGUCCACACAGCAGUAUGGGUGCAGUGGAUGCCUGGUCGACCCAGAAGCCCCUGUGACCCCUGGGACAGGGACUGGGAAGCAGUCCCAGCAGAGCGGUGGCUGCCACCCUUCUGUGCUCCCCAGGGAAUCAGUCCAAUCAGCUGUCCUGAGGGAUAGCUGGCUACACGGAAACCGCCCUGGCGAGCACGGUUUGCGUUCUCACGUAGCAUCACCGCAUCACCGCACAGCUCAGGGUGUUUCCUUCAUUCUACAAAGUCCCCUCGGGAUGCUUGGCUGUUGGCUUCUCUACCCCCAGCCCUGGCCAGGCUGGUCUCCAGCUCUCCCUCCCGCUGUUUUGCCCUCUUCAGAAGGCUACAGACCUGGAGUGGAGCAGCGAGACUGCUUCCUCGCUGAGCGCAAGGCCCACGCCCACGGCCGUCUCGGUGUUCGAGUCAGUAGCUCACUCCUCUCUACUGCUGGGCAGUACCCCAGCGUCAGGGCGUUACGCGGUGUGUGUGCACCUCGGAGGAGGGACCAUCCCUUCCUUUCUACAGGAGAACAACCAGAGCUGCUACAGACCCGUGUGGAGGAUGUACUUGUGGGGCCCCUUCCCCAGGGACGCUCAGGCUGCCCCCCUCCGAGGGCUGCUGCAGCCAGGUCACUGCCUCUGCUUCCUAGUGGGGCUCUGGACAGGGCUUCCUCCCCAUGCAGUCCCAGACUGAUCAGGAGCCUCCCCACCCAAAGUGUUGGGAGCAGCUCGCGCGUCCAAUUGUCCCUGCGUGGAUGUUCCUUGUUUCAACUGACAGGUGUCAUAGCUUCUUCAAUAGCCACAUCCGCUCUACUCAACUGCACCUGCCCCUCCUGA
rnacentral:lncRNA from 1 species